UGCCGAUCUUUCAAACAUUGCUUCGAGUCAUUUCUCUUCCUAAACUUUGAAAUCGAAACAAAAGGUAAGACCGUGAAAAAUCAAACUAGUUAAGUCGUCUCGAAUUAAUGUAUUCAUUAGGGAAUGCAUCGUCAUCUCUUUGCCAUCAUCUGUAAAAGGUAACAAGUUAGCAGUGUAAAUCAUACUAGGUGAAGGAGUUGUUAGCUAGGCUGAUUGAUCAUAGUCGAGCCAUUUGUAACCGAGUCAAUUGCAUAAACCUCCAGCCCUCUUGUCCGACCAGGUGCUCCGCCUUUGAGUGAGGAUAGAUCCAACACAAUCAUCUUCUGAGUUUCAUUAUCGAGGUCUGAAGUUCGGUAGGUUAUUAUAAUUUUGUUAUCAAUCCUUGAUACUGAAUGGACAAUUGGAGGUAGGUCCAAAUCUUCUGGAAUUGAUUUAGUACAAGUAUCGACACUCGAAUCAAUCCCCAAGAGUUUCUUGAGACUCUCAUAGCACUCUUCAAGGUUAUCAUUGUACAAGAAGUGAUCAAAUAUACCAGAUGAUUCUCCUUCCUUGAUCUCUGCCUCGGCAUUUCGCAGUCGUUUGAGGAUUUGUUCUUCGGUUUCAGUUCCUCUGGCACGAAGGCGCUUCUCGAGUUCAGCCAUUGAAGGUGGACAGAUGAAGAUGAAUAUUGCAUCCAGUGAACUAGCCCUCACAGACCUCGCGCCUUGAACAUCAAUGUCAAGAAUGCAUCUUUUUCCUGCAUCUGCUACCACUUCAACUGCCUCAACACUAGUUCCAUAGAGGUUUCCAUGAACUGAAGCAAACUCAAGAAAUUUUCCCUCUUUUAUGUCCUUCUCCAUAACGCUUCGUUCUGUAAAAUGGUAAUGGAGGCCAUCUUUCUCCAUGUUCCUCGGAGCACGGGUUGUGUGGCUAACAGAGAAUCCAAAUAAGGAUGGAAAUUCUUUCAUGAGCAUUGAUAUAAGAGUACCCUUGCCCACUCCAGAUGGACCACUAACAACAAUUGGCUUCUCAACAGUUCCCCUCACACCUUUACUCCAAGCAACAACUUCACAACCCAACAAUUUUCUUUGUUCUUGAACAUAUGGGGUAUUCACCUCGAGAAACCAAAAAGAGUCAACUAAGGGGGAUCCGCCCUUAAUAAACAAUAUGCGGUCUUCAUUUAAAGCAAUUGCUGAAUGCCCUUUACAUGAGUUCGGUAUUGUUCCCAAAACAACCGGAUUGAUCUGCGUUCCUUUGGAAUGAUCAAAUACUUGAACUUGAAAGGACAACAGCAAUUCUUCGCAGCCUCCAUCAACCAGAUAUGUUUUAUUGCCGAUGACAGUGGCUGUUUCACAACCUUUGGAUUUUAAACCGAAUCCAUUCAGAAAUCCCUCCUUCAAAUCAUGAGCAAAGAAAGCUGGGGCUUCUCCCAUGGAGAAAUUUAAUCCCCCAAGUUCUAGAUUACCCUGGAGAGAAUUCUGAGGAGAGGGGUGUUUAAGGUCGAAAGAAGCAAAAAGGAAGACAACCCAGUUGGUGGAUUCUUGAAAGGGUUAAAGAAAAUUGUUAGUUGAUUGUAUGGAAUGGGAAGAAACCCAGAAUGGAAGAAAU
rnacentral:misc_RNA from 1 species